rnacentral:rRNA from 1 species
ACGUUGGCGGCGUGGAUUAGGCAUGCAAGUCGAACGCGAAAGGGGCAACUCCGGUAGCGUGGCGUAAGGGGUAGUAAUCUAUAGGUAACCUACCCUGGGGACUGGGACAUAUGGCCGAAAGGCCGUGCAGUACUAGACACCGUUGCGAGGGGGCAUCCUCAUGCAACGAAACGGAUUCCGCCCUGGGAGGGGCCUAUAUCUUAUCAGCUUGUUGGCGAGGUGACGGCUCACCAAGGCGAUGACGAGUAGGGGGUGUGAGAGGACGACCCCCACCACUGGCACUGAGACACUGGCCAGACUCCUACGGGAGGCUGCAGUCGAGAAUCUUCGGCAAUGGGCGCAAGCCUGACCGAGCGACGCCGCGUGGAGGAUGAAGGCCUUCGGGUUGUAAACUCCUGUUGGGGGGGAACAAUUAAAUGAGUGAUCCCCUGAGGAAGCACGGGCUAAGUUCGUGCCAGCAGCCGCGGUAAGACGAACCGUGCGAACGUUAUUCGGAGUAACUGGGCUUAAAGAGUUCGUAGGCGGCGCUGUCAGUGGGGGGUGAAAUACUAUCGGCUCAACCGUGGAAUUGCCUUUCAUACUGCAGCGCUUGAGGGAAGUAGGGGCGAGUGGAACUUCCGGUGGAGCGGUGAAAUGUGUUGAGAUCGGAAGGAACGCCGGUGGCGAAAGCGACUCGCUGGGAUUCUCCUGACGCUGAGGAACGAAAGCUAGGGGAGCAAACGGGAUUAGAUACCCCGGUAGUCCUAGCCGUAAACGUUGGGUACUGAGUAGGAAGCGUUCCGAUAACGCCUCCUGCUGGAGCGAAAGUGUUAAGUACCCCGCCUGGGGAGUAUGGCCGCAAGGCUGAAACUCAAAGGAAUUGACGGGGGCUCACACCAGCGGUGGAGCAUGUGGCUCAAUUCGAGGCUACGCGAAGAACCUUAUCCUAGGUUUGACAUGCAGGAGGUAGCCCGGUGGAAACACUGGGUGGCCGGUAUCCAAUCCGGAGACCUGCACAGGUGCUGCAUGGCUGUCGUCAGCUCGUGUUGUGAGAUGUCGGGUUAAGUCCCUUAACGAGCGAAACCCUUGUCCUUAGUUACCAGCGGGUCAUGCCGGGAACUCUAAGGAGACCGGCCGGUGUU